GAUGAACGCUGGCGGCGUGCCUAAUACAUGCAAGUCGAGCGAACAGACGAGAAGCUUGCUUCUCUGACGUUAGCGGCGGACGGGUGAGUAACACGUGGAUAACCUACCUAUAAGACUGGGAUAACUUCGGGAAACCGGAGCUAAUACCGGAUAAUAUUUUGAACCGCAUGGUUCAAAAGUGAAAGACGGUCUUGCUGUCACUUAUAGAUGGAUCCGCGCUGCAUUAGCUAGUUGGUAAGGUAACGGCUUACCAAGGCAACGAUGCAUAGCCGACCUGAGAGGGUGAUCGGCCACACUGGAACUGAGACACGGUCCAGACUCCUACGGGAGGCAGCAGUAGGGAAUCUUCCGCAAUGGGCGAAAGCCUGACGGAGCAACGCCGCGUGAGUGAUGAAGGUCUUCGGAUCGUAAAACUCUGUUAUUAGGGAAGAACAUAUGUGUAAGUAACUGUGCACGUCUUGACGGUACCUAAUCAGAAAGCCACGGCUAACUACGUG
rnacentral:rRNA from 1 species